UACGAAGGGGGCUAGCGUUGCUCGGAAUCACUGGGCGUAAAGAGCUCGUAGGCGGUUGGGUAAGUCGGGUGUGAAAACUCCAGGCUCAACUUGGAGAUGCCACCCGAUACUGCUCUGACUUGAGUUCGGUAGGGGAGUGGGGAAUUCCUGGUGUAGCGGUGAAAUGCGCAGAUAUCAGGAGGAACACCGGUGGCGAAGGCGCCACUCUGGGCCGAAACUGACGCUGAGGAGCGAAAGCGUGGGUAGCAAACAGG
rnacentral:rRNA from 1 species